rnacentral:rRNA from 1 species
CCCGAAACGAGAUGAUCUACCCUUGGUCAGGUUGAAGUUGAGGUAUAACUGAAUGGAGGACCGAACCGACUUACGUUGAAAAGUGAGCGGAUGAACUGAGGGUAGCGGAGAAAUUCCAAUCGAACUUGGAGAUAGCUGGUUCUCUCCGAAAUAGCUUUAGGGCUAGCCUCAAGUGAUGAUUAUUGGGGGUAGAGCACUGUUUGGACGAGGGGCCCCUCUCGGGUUACCGAAUUCAGACAAACUCCGAAUGCCAAUUAAUUUAACUUGGGAGUCAGAACAUGGGUGAUAAGGUCCGUGUUCGAAAGGGAAACAGCCCAGACCACCAGCUAAGGUCCCAAAAUAUAUGUUAAGUGGAAAAGGAUGUGGCGUUGCCCAGACAACUAGGAUGUUGGCUUAGAAGCAGCCAUCAUUUAAAGAGUGCGUAAUAGCUCACUAGUCGAGUGACACUGCGCCGAAAAUGUAACGGGGCUAAACAUAUUACCGAAGCUGUGGAUUGUCCUUUGGACAAUGGUAGGAGAGCGUUCUAAGGGCGUCGAAGCAUGAUCGCAAGGACAUGUGGAGCACUUAGAAGUGAGAAUGCCGGUGUGAGUAG